GAUGAACGCUGGCGGCGCGCCUAACACAUGCAAGUCGAACGAUUAAAGCACCUUCGGGUGUGUAUAAAGUGGCGAACGGCUGAGUAACACGUGGGCAACCUGCCCCUUUCAUUGGGAUAGCCACGUGAAACCGUGGAUAAUACCGAAUACUUCGAGACUUCCGCAUGGAAGACUCGAGAAAGCUCCGGCGGAGGGGGAUGGGCCCGCGGCCUGUUAGCUUGUUGGUGGGGUAACGGCCUACCAAGGCAAUGAUGGGUAGCUGGGUUGAGAGCCCGACCAGCCACAUUGGGACUGAGACACGGCCCAGACUCCUACGGGAGGCAGCAGUGGGGAAUCUUGCACAAUGGGCGAAAGCCUGAUGCAGCGACGCCGCGUGCGGGAUGAAGGCCUUCGGGUUGUAAACCGCUUUCAGCAGGGACGAGGCGAAAGUGACGGUACCUGCAGAAGAAGCCCCGGCUAACUACGUG
rnacentral:rRNA from 1 species